UACGUAGGUGGCAAGCGUUGUCCGGAAUGAUUGGGCGUAAAGGGCGCGUAGGCGGCCCGGUAAGUCUGUGUGAAAGUCCUGUUUUCAAGAUGGGAAUUGCUUUGGAUACUGUCGGGCUUGAGUGCAGGAGAGGUAAGUGGAAUUCCCAGUGUAGCGGUCAAAUGCGUAGAGAUUGGGAGGAACACCAGUGGCGAAGGCGACUUACUGGACUGUAACUGACGCUGAGGCGCGAAAGUGUGGGGAGCAAACA
rnacentral:rRNA from 1 species